GGGCUACACACGUGCUACAAUGGUGGUGACAGUGGGCAGCGAGACCGCGAGGUCGAGCUAAUCUCCAAAAGCCAUCUCAGUUCGGAUUGCACUCUGCAACUCGAGUGCAUGAAGUUGGAAUCGCUAGUAAUCGCAGAUCAGCAUGCUGCGGUGAAUA
rnacentral:rRNA from 1 species